rnacentral:rRNA from 1 species
CUACGUGCCAGCAGCCGCGGUAAUACGUAGGUGGCAAGCGUUGUCCGGAAUUAUUGGGCGUAAAGCGCGCGCAGGCGGAUCAGUUAGUCUGUCUUAAAAGUUCGGGGCUUAACCCCGUGAUGGGAUGGAAACUGCUGAUCUAGAGUAUCGGAGAGGAAAGUGGAAUUCCUAGUGUAGCGGUGAAAUGCGUAGAUAUUAGGAAGAACACCAGUGGCGAAGGCGACUUUCUGGACGAAAACUGACGCUGAGGCGCGAAAGCCAGGGGAGCGAACGGGAUUAGAUACCCCGGUAGUCUUGGCCGUAAACGAUGGGUACUAGGUGUAGGAGGUAUCGACCCCUUCUGUGCCGGAGUUAACGCAAUAAGUACCCCGCCUGGGGAGUACGACCGCAAGGUUGAAACUCAAAGGAAUUGACGGGGGCCCGCACAAGCGGUGGAGUAUGUGGUUUAAUUCGACGCAACGCGAAGAACCUUACCAGGUCUUGACAU